AGGACGAACGCUAGCGGCGUGCCUAAGGUAUGCAAGUCGAACGGCCCGCAAGGGUAGUGGCGAACGGUCGAGUAACACGUAGACAACCUGCCUUUCAGUGGGGGAUAACAGCUCGAAAGGGCUGCUAAUACCGCAUAGGGCGGCCUGGCGAUGCCAGGCAUGCUAAAGGAGCAAUCCGCUGGGGAGAGUGGGUCUGCGGCCUAUCAGGUAGUUGGUGGGUAACGGCCUACCAAGCCGACGACGGGUAGCGGGUCUGAGAGGAUGAGUCCGGCCGGGACGGGGACGUGGAGACCGACCGGCCCCGACGUCCCGUUCGGGGA
rnacentral:rRNA from 1 species